rnacentral:rRNA from 1 species
UUUAUGGAGAGUUUGAUCCUGGCUCAGGAUGAACGCUGGCGGCGUGCCUAAUACAUGCAAGUCGAGCGAACGGACGAGAAGCUUGCUUCUCU